rnacentral:lncRNA from 1 species
UCAUUUCUUACGAGCUUACAAUUUGAUAUCGCUAAGUGAUAUAUCCCUGUGAAUCAGCAGUAUUUAUCUUAUCAAUUUCUAGGAAAGAGAUAAAACGCGUAAAAUACAUAAUCAUACGUAUGAUAUUUACAAAAACAUACAAAAACUUGAAAACCACAACAUCGACGCGGGACCAAAGCAUUAACGUAUCCCUCCCUGUCUGAAUGAACUACGAGCCCGCGCAAGUAAGGGAAGGGACAUCAUUUAGGCCUAUUUGGCUACAUUUCAGACUGGUCAUGUAGGCCUCUUCAGAAGGAAGGUCAGCCUGAAGAAGCCGCCGUCGCUGGGACACUUGCCAAGAGAGGCCAUACUAGUUGAUACUAGUGUGGCGCCUGCUGACUCAUUAUCUGUCAAAGCCGCCCGCUGAUUGGUCGACGAGCGCAUGACGUCACGCAGUCUGACUUAUCCUUGUCACACGACCAAGAAUGUAAUAAGGGCGGCGUGACGUCACAGCGCUUGGACUUCCCGGUUGACUGAAGAGCAGCAGGUAACGGCGAAGAACGGCGUGACGUCACACACUCUGGUGUUCCCGGUGGUGUGAUAGAGGAAGCCGGCUCACAGGCAGGAAAGCGUGACGUCACACACGGGUCGACGUGGGUACCACUGAUGAUCGAGCUGGUGCCGUCCUUCUAUCCUCACCCCGUACCCUCCCACCCCCAGUUAGUCCCCCCUUCCCAGCUCCCAUCCCUCCCCCCAGACAGACCCCUUCCCCACACCCACUCUUCUCUAUUCUCCCUCCUCCUCCUCCUCCUUCCUCGCCCUCUCCGUUCUCUCCUGCACCCUCCCUCUCCCCACCCCAAGCCACACCGCCCUACACAUCCACCGCCUUCGUCUUGUGUGUUAGCCUGUCUCUAACUGGAGUCUUCUCGCCCCGAUUUAGUCCGCCAGAGUGCGUGAGUGUCCGACAUAUCUAACCUAUGGCGACCAAGAAGAAACGAGUCUCGCUGUGAUAUCCUGUAAACACUUUACUCCCAAACCUGAUGGCUUUUUCUCGUAUUCCACGAUUCUGACACUUGAAGAACAAGCAAAAUAUUACACCGGGAAUGAAACGCAGGAACAAGAUUACUGAGUGAUCUAAAAGGAUGUGAAAUCCCACGUUAACUCUUCAGGUCGAGACAUCCUGCCUCUCUUUCAGCAUAUAGACUGGGUUCUGUUCCUACACUAAGAGUCGCCGGCCUUUGUUAGGACGAGCUGACCACAGCGUCUGCGAGGGGAGGAUAGGGAAGGAGAGGGUGGGGGUAUAAGGCCCUGGAGGGAGGGGGUUGGAAGAGGAGGGACUAUAAGGGAGGUACAGGAGGGGUUUGGGGGGAGGGGGGAUGGCGGCAAACCAGACUACGAGGAAAAGGGAGAGGAGGAAGGAGGGGGAGGAUGUUUUGAAGAAACGGUUGUGAAUAGGAUAGCUUCUAGUUUAGUUUUUGUUUUCCUCUUUGUAUAUUUUAAUUGAGAUACAGAUUAAUAAGUGAAUCUACUGACAUAUCGCACCAGGAAGAUCUUGAGAUAUGGUUCUUAGAUAGGAAGGAGAUAACAAGACACAUGAAGAUGGUAACAAGAAGUCGAGAUAGUUAUUUAGCAGCUGUGUCGAGGGAAAGCGAAGACAAACAUCUGUAUAAGGGAAUAUCGACGAAAAAAGAAAGAAUAAUAAAAAUGCAAUGAGCAAAAUCCAUAUUUUUACAAAUAAACAGUGAAAACCGAGGAAGAUAUUAACUAACGAUAAAGUCCAGACGACCGGCGAAUAAGGAAGAGAAGGAAAAUCAAGAAAGAAGGACGAAGCAAGGGUGAGACGUGGGCAUCUCGAGUCCACUUCCGAAUAUCAGCUGACCUCUUUGUUCCGGCAAAAAAGUCGCGUCAUCUCGCCGCGUUGUCCUUUGUUCGAAACGCCUCUAAGUAUCUUAUUUAAUUCCUCGCUUCGCAAUACAUCGCUGGACUAUAAUCUUUAAGAACCGAAAAAAUAUGUCUAUCUUGCUUGUCAGGGAAUAUUUUUAGUGAUUAUAUACUUAUAUCGAAUGUCAGUAGUGAAUGAUCAGUUUACCGAAUUAAAUAUAAUUAUGUUUGUAUUCAUGACUCUUAGAUAAUACACGCACAACGAUUAUA